ensembl:snRNA U6 U6 spliceosomal RNA
UCUGUCUCUAAAAAAAUAAAUACAAUUGGAUUGAUACAGAGAAGAUUAGCACUGCCCUUGAGCAAAAAUUACACAUAUUCAUGAAGCAUACCAUAUUCAA